UUAAAGGAGUAGCUACUAGAGAAUCAGCUGGUCAUAUAGCCAACAUUGCUGAACAUGCUGCCAGACUUAACCCUAACAUGCCAAAUCCUGUAAUAUGUAUAGAGGGAGAGGGAGGGAGUAUUUUGAUAAAAAAGGAAAACAACAUUACCAUGGGGAUAUACAAAUCACCUAAUUAAUCAUGUAGUUAUACAAGUAGCUGAGACAAUACAAGAUGCAUAGUAGCUGUAACGUAGACUUUAGUUGGUUCAAACUAAAAACUGAUGGGCUUUGAUAUAGAUUUAUUGUUGCGGAAAGUAUGUUCAUCAAUGACGGAAAAUAUGUUCAUCAACGUUGCAUAUAAUGGAGAUUUUGAUUGACAUUUUGAAUAAUAAAUUAAAUAAAAUUACAUCUGACAGUGAUAAUUAUGUAAAAUGAGUGGCAUACUGAUUCCAACAGCAAAAAGAGACAUGUAAAAAUCAAAUAUUAAAAGUGUAUUGUUUUAAUUGCUUCAAUUUCAGUUUAUAAAUAUCUUUUAUGUGCAAUAAAUACUAUUAAAUAUAUAUUUUGUAUAAGAA